AAUAAUAAAUUAUCAAAAAUAAAAUUUUAAUUGAAUCCUAAUCAAAUCUUCAAUAAAUCUUAAUAAAGCUUUAAAUCAAUUCCAAUCAAAUCUUAAAAAAUCCUAAAUCUUCAACAAACCUUAAUUAAAUCUUAGACAAAUCUUAAUCAAAUCCUUGAUAAAUCCUAAUAAAAUCCUAAAUAAAUCCUAAAUAAAUCUUAAAUCCUAAUCUUAAGUCAAAUUCUAAUCA
rnacentral:lncRNA from 1 species